rnacentral:rRNA from 1 species
AGUGAACGCUGGCGGUAGGCCUAACACAUGCAAGUCGAGCGGCAGCACAGUAAGAGCUUGCUCUUACGGGUGGCGAGUGGCGGACGGGUGAGGAAUACAUCGGAAUCUACUUUUUCGUGGGGGAUAACGUAGGGAAACUCACGCUAAUACCGCAUACGACCUACGGGUGAAAGCAGGGGAUCUUCGGACCUUGCGCGAUUGAAUGAGCCGAUGUCGGAUUAGCUAGUUGGCGGGGUAAAGGCCCACCAAGGCGACGAUCCGUAGCUGGUCUGAGAGGAUGAUCAGCCACACUGGAACUGAGACACGGUCCAGACUCCUACGGGAGGCAGCAGUGGGGAAUAUUGGACAAUGGGCGCAAGCCUGAUCCAGCCAUACCGCGUGGGUGAAGAAGGCCUUCGGGUUGUAAAGCCCUUUUGUUGGGAAAGAAAAGCAGCAGGCUAAUACCCCGCUGUUCUGACGGUACCCAAAGAAUAAGCACCGGCUAACUUCGUG